UACGUACCGUACGAACGUUAUUCGGAAUUACUGGGCUUAAAGGGUUUGUAGGCGGCCUUGUAAGUCAGGUGUGAAAUCCCUCGGCUCAACCGAGGAAUAGCGCUUGAUACUGCAAGGCUUGAGGGAGACAGGGGUAAGCGGAACUGAUGGUGGAGCGGUGAAAUGCGUUGAUAUCGGGAGGAACACCAAUUGCGAAGGCAGCUCGCUGGGACGUUACUGACGCUGAGACGCGAAAGCGUGGGGAGCAAACAGG
rnacentral:rRNA from 1 species